GGGAGAGGGCGAGGCUCCACCCCCUCCUCUGCAGCCAGGCAGCUCUAAGGCCUGAUCCCGGGAAAGGACAUCUGUCCCCAUGGAAACCGAGGUGGGGGAGGGGAGCCGGCCCGGCUGGUGUCACUUCAAGGUCCCGGGAGGAGUCUGUCUGACCCCCACCUUUUCCUGGGUGCAGAUUCUAGAAUUGUCCUGGGUACAGCAGAAAUGUACACAUGUUCACCAGAAUACAAGACCAACCUGUACACAGCACAGGAUUUUGGAGUGAUGAAGAGAUGGUCAUGUAAUGGACUACUCUACAGCCAGGAAAAGGGAUGAAGCACUCACAGAUACACCAAUAGAAGUGAAUUUUUCAGACAUCAUGUGGAGUAAAAAAAAAAAAAGCAGACACAAAAGAGAACAUACUUGUAUGGGGCAGACCCCAGGCCCUGUGCAUGUGAGGUGAGCGGACUCCACUGAGCAGCACCAGGCCGGACUCCAGUUUACUAAAAGCACCCUGCAGGCCACGGUGGGGACCAGCUAUGAGGUGAGAACUCAGAGCAGGAGCAGGAGGAGCAGAGGACCUGGAUAUGACUGGACUGGUGGCAGCCAUCGCAAGGGAGCCUGGGGGAGAAGCUGCUUCUGGCCAUGAUGGGCCUGAGCUGCCUGGUGGACCCUGCAGAAGGCACAUUCCUGGCUCCUGAGAUGCAGCUGGGCAGCGGCUGGGGAGACCAGAGCCAGAAGGAAAACCAGGUAGCCAAAUAGCUGCACACAGGCCUGGAAGGCUCAGGAACCUGAUGGGGGGCGGGGGGCGAGCAGAUCUAGCUGAGGAGGGCAUGGGCACACACCUGUCAUGCCAGCACUGCUGGAGGCUGAGGCAGGAGGGUUGC